GUAGGUGAACCUGCGGAAGGAUCAUUAACGUUAAUUUUUAACUCUUAGAGUUUUCUCUAAGGUUAAUUUAUUAUCUUUAUUCUCUCUCUCUUUUUUUUAAACGCAUUCUUCUUUUAAGCUUUCAUCAGCUUAAAUUUAGAAACAUAAGAACUAUUGAGCUCAUCUAAAAAAAUGAGUCUCAAUCUUUAAUCUUUUCGGUUCUUCUGUAGAGGUCAUUCUCUAUAGUAUAAAACCAAAAGUUUUAAAUUUU
rnacentral:misc_RNA from 1 species